AUCACUUCAAAUUGAUAGUUGUAACACUCACUGCACUUCUGAACAUGGCUCAAGAGCAGGUUCCAGUCAUGAUCACUGCUGCUGCAGGAAAUGAGGCUGAGUGGGAGCUGAUUCAAGCAAAAGAAGAUCAGCCAAAGUCGGAUUUCGUUGCUUCCAAGCUUCGGUGCGAUAGCUCCGACUCGGAUUCGAAGUCUGGUUCUGAUUUGAACUCGCAAUCAAAUAAGAAAAAAGAUUUGAAAGGCAAAUCAAAAGUGGAGGAUCUGAAAGAGAAAAUCAGAAAGAAGAUAAGUGCGAAAAAAGAGCAAAGAAGGAAGAAAACGCUCGAACGCAACAGCUCUAAAUCCGGUUUAGUUUCUGCUUCUGCCUCACCCCCUACGGUCGAUCCUGACUCGGCAAAGAAGAGGGGAAAGAAAGAGAUCGCAAAGAGUGCUCACAUGAAAGGACUUGACAAGCUGGAAUGUAAAAGCUCCGACUCAGAUUCAAACUCAAAGUCGGAUGAUGAUUCUAAAUCCGGUUCUGAUUCUGAUACGAAAUCUAAUCAUUCUGGGUUGAAAUCUGAUUCGGAAUCUAAGCCUACUCUGGUAAAAAAGAUAGGAAACAAAGCGAUUAUAAGGACUACUCAUGUAGAGGGACUAGAUAAGCUGAAAUGUAAAAAGUCCUCGGAUUCAAGCUCCAAGUCUGAUGAUUCUUCAAAAUCCGAUUCGGACUCAAAGUCAAGUGAUGACUCUCCUUCGUCUCCUUCUUCGAAAUCCGAUGACUCUCCUUCUUCUCCUUCUUCGAAAUCUGAUGACUCUCCUUCUUCUCCUUCUUCGAAAUCUGAUUCUGAUUCAGAUUCGAAAUCAUCAGAUUCGAAAUCAUCAGAUUCUGGUUUGAAAUCUAACUCAGAAUCUAAAUUGAUUGCGUAUACGAAAGAGAUGACGGGAACUGCUCAUAUAGAGGGACUUGACAAGCUCGAAUGUAAAAGCUCGGACUCGGAUUCAAACUCAAAGUCGGAUGAUGAUUCUAAAUCCGGUUCUGGUUCUGAUUCUGACGCGAAAUCUAAUGAUUCUGGUUUAAAAGCCGGUUCAAAAUCUAAAUCCAGCGCGAUACAGGCAAAGAAAAAGGGAAAGAAAGAGAUGACAGGAGCCGCGCAUAUAGAGGGACUUGACAAGCUCAAAUGUAAAAGCUCGGACUCAGAUUCGAGCUCAAAGUCGAACGAUUCUGAUUCUGAUGCAAAAUCUAAUGAUUCUGGUUUGAAAUCUGGCUCGAAAUCUAAAUCUAGCAUGGCAAAGAAAAAGGGAAAGAAAGUGAUGACAGGAACUGCUCAUAUUGAGGGACUUGACAAACUCAAAUGUAAAAGCUCGGACUCGGAUUCAAGCUCAAAGUCUGGCGAUGAUUCUUCUUCUAAAUCUAAUUCUGAUUCUGACGCAAAAUCUAACGAUUCUGGUUUGAAAUCUGGCUCAAAAUCUAAAUCCGGCGCGGUAAAAAAAAUACGAAAGAAAAAGAUCACAGGGGCUGCUCAUGUGGAGGGACUUGAUAAGCUGGAAUGUAAAAAGUCUGACUCAGAUUCAAAUUCAAAGUCGAGUGAUGAUUCUUCUUCCAAAUCUGAUUCCAAUUCAGAUUCUGAUAAGAAAUCUAAUCAUUCUGGUUUGAAAUCAGACUCGGAACCAAAAUCUAGUGAGGUAAUUAUAUUAUCUAAUUGAAAAAGCCCGGAUAUAAUAUAUAUCUGCUUACACUAGAUAGCUUGACAUAACAUUAUUAACUCUAUGAAAAAAAAAAAACAAAAGCUUGAUUCACUUAUCACUAUUUGUUACUCUUAAUACAUAAAAGUUCGUCCUAUAAAAAAAAAUCAAGUAAAAUUUUAUUAUGUCCAUAGUUUGUAUCUAUCUGCCUAAUAUUUCUAUAUCUGUCAUAGAUAUAGAAGGAUUUAUAACUGUAAAAUAACAAAAAGUAGUUCAAUACGCAAAUUUCUUUUUUUUCCUGCAAUCUAGUGACGGCAAAGACUCCAAAAUACAGGUAAAGAAAAUACGAAAGAAAAAGAUCACAAGGGCUGCUCAUGUGGAGGGACUUGAUAAGCUGGAAUGUAAAAAGUCUGACUCAGAUUCAAAUUCAAAGUCAAGCGAUGAUUCUUCUUCCAAAUCUGAUUCUGAUUCUGAUUCUGAUAAGAAAUCUAAUCAUUCUGGUUUGAAAUCAGACUCGGAACCAAAAUCCAAUGAGGUAAAGAAAAUACGAAAGAAAAAGAUCACAGGGGACGCUCAUGUGGAGGGACUUGAUAAGCUGGAAUGUAAAAAGUCUGACUCAGAUUCAAAUUCAAAAUCGAGCGAUGAUUCUUCUUCCAAAUCUGAUUCCGGUUCUGAUUCUGAUAAGAAAUCUAAUCAUUCUGGUUUGAAAUCCGACUCGGAAUCAAAAUCUAAUGAGGUAACGAAAAUACGAAAGAAAAAGAUCGUAGGGGCUGCUCAUGUGGAGGGACUUGUAAAGCUGGAAUG